UGGCGGCAGGCCUAACACAUGCAAGUCGAACGGUAGCACAGAGAGCUUGCUCUCGGGUGACGAGUGGCGGACGGGUGAGUAAUGUCUGGGAAACUGCCUGAUGGAGGGGGAUAACUACUGGAAACGGUAGCUAAUACCGCAUAACGUCGCAAGACCAAAGAGGGGGACCUUCGGGCCUCUUGCCAUCAGAUGUGCCCAGAUGGGAUUAGCUAGUAGGUGGGGUAACGGCUCACCUAGGCGACGAUCCCUAGCUGGUCUGAGAGGAUGACCAGCCACACUGGAACUGAGACACGGUCCAGACUCCUACGGGAGGCAGCAGUGGGGAAUAUUGCACAAUGGGCGCAAGCCUGAUGCAGCCAUGCCGCGUGUAUGAAGAAGGCCUUCGGGUUGUAAAGUACUUUCAGCGGGGAGGAAGGUGUUGUGGUUAAUAACCGCAGCAAUUGACGUUACCCGCAGAAGAAGCACCGGCUAACUCCGUGCCAGCAGCCGCGGUAAU
rnacentral:rRNA from 1 species